UUUUAUUUUGAUGAUUGUUUUUGGUGUUGUUUCUUGAUUAUUACACUUGCAUCUAUUGAAUAUAAUUUCCUUGUGUGCUUGCAGUGUAAUUACUGCGUGUGUUUAGAUGGACGAAGAAACCUCAUUUACGACCGAUGAUAACAGUACGAAUAAUAUCAGUCGGACCGAUGACGAUCCUAGUAGUGAAGAUGAUGACAACAGCGAUAAUGAAUCGUGGUCAUCAUAUGAUAUCUUACCUUCAGAGGAUUUUGAAAAUAAUGAACAUGGUGUAAACAGUGAAAACGUAAGUGAAGUAUAUUUGAUUUCAUUUUUCAACAUGUAGUGUAUUGUAUGUGUAAUUUUUUAUCUGUGUUUUAAAUUUACAGGAGGAUGUGGAUGUUGAGAAUGAGCAAAAUAGUUCUGAGAAUUUGGGGGUCGAUAACGUUAGCCAGGUUCGUUUAAACUUUU
rnacentral:lncRNA from 1 species